rfam:Brachypodium distachyon strain Bd21 chromosome 5, whole genome shotgun sequence.
UAGGUUUGUCCUAAGUCAAACUUCUUCAGGUUUGACCAAGUUUAUAGAAAAAUCUACUAAUACCUACAAUAUAAUUUAAGUACACUAUGAAAAUAUAUAUAAUUACAGAUUUGAUAGAAGUGAUUUGGAGUUGUAGAUUUUGGUAGUUUUUCUAUAAAUGUGGUCAAACUUGAAGAAGUUUGACUUAGGACAAAAUUAG